GUUAGUCACGAGUCGUUGAUUCGUACACUUGUGCCUGUGCCUUAACUUGACACUUUGCAUUAUCAACGAUCUCGAUAAUUUCUCACCUGACUUCCGUACCGCGUUGGAAAAAUCGAACGAGUACGUUAUCCUGCGUUUAUUUCGGACCCUCUCACGACCAACAAGAUAUUGGCACGGCGGCUGGUUUUUAGCACGACAUGGCACAACGCGUUCGAUGGUGUGAUGAUGCUAGGUCAUAACGCGCAACGAGGAAAUGGCAUAAAUUGGAUGAGGGUGGAGCACCGAGCGCUUCUCUCGCCUCUCUCUCUCUCCAUCUCUCUCUCUCGGUGGCUGGUAAAUAAUUGGAGUGCUUUCGAAACAACCCCUGAGGCAAUCCGUGCAUGCAAAAAUUGCGAUGUCGAAACGAUUGUUACUGACAUGCGUGGGUCCUGAACUAGCAUCGAUAGAAUUACAAGUAGCAUUAUAUAUGGUGUAGAAAAAUGUAUACGAUCGAUUUUGUUUUCUUGGACCUUUUAAAAUUUUUUUUUUUUUUUUUUAUCCAACGUAAGAUUUCAUAGCUAGAAAUUUGUAAUGAAAUAAUAGUAAUAGUAAUAAUGAUAAAAAAAAAAAAUUAUAAUAAUAAUUCAUUUCGUUGCGAUUACAUUCAAUUACGCAUACCUACGCAUACGCGCAUGUGUACACACAGUUUUCUAGCCAACGUGCCGAUUUUCACGCACAUAAUACAUGAACAUCGCGACUAUUACGACGAUCAGCUUAAUCGUAGCUGCAUUAACUUUUUGGUACGUAAAAAUUUCAAAUCGACACUACAAUAACGCCUCCUAUUUUAUACAAGAUUAUUUCAGGGUCGAAACGAUGAGUCGUUAUUGUAUCGGGUAUCUCAUUUUUAAGGCAUUGUUAUGGCCGUGUACCUAUAAUAUACACAUAUAGGCAUAUACGCAUACAUAUUACACAGUAAAUUAGUCGCGUUUCUGUCUGUAUUUUUUUUUUUUCUUUUUUUUUUUUUGUUUUAUCCAGGUUUCUACCGUUUACGGUUCAAUUUUUCUUCUCGAUCGCAAAGAAUUUCCGAAAUACGAACAACGUAAACGGGCGAGGUUGAGUCGUAAAGCCACGUUGAUUUUUUUUUUUUUUAUCGAAAAAAAUGCGUCCCUAUCUUGUCAUUUAUUACAGUGGCAACUCAAUCACUGGCGUCAACUCGUCUAGUCAGAUCGAUCCGCAACUGUGCGUCCAGGUUCGUUACAGGUUCAUUUUUGCAGAAUGAAAAAAAAAUAAAAAAAAGCGGGUUUGCGUCCGACGAAUUUAUUUAUGUAACGUCGAUGCAUAAUUUAAUUAAGACACCAAUUUUAUUUAAAUGUCUAUUAUAACGAUAAACUUUAUUAUAUACUUGUAAAUAUAACACUAAAUUUUAAGUAAAUAUAAUACUCUUAUAUAUGCGUCUGCGGAUUUGGGGUAGAAUUCCGAUUUCUCUUUUCUUUCAUCAUCUUGUUUUUUUUUUAUAUCUUUAGCCUCGAUCGUUUUGGCCUGUUUCGAAAUAUCAAAUUCCUCGGAAUUCAGACCAGCAGAUCCGCAGACUCUAAGUCGGACGUAUUCUUUCAUUAGUCCGCUUAGAAAAUAACACAACCAUAAUAUAUCUAACAAUUAACGCCGGACGGCUGAUUAUAUAG